rnacentral:rRNA from 1 species
CCUACGGGUGGCUGCAGUGGGGAAUAUUGGACAAUGGGCGAAAGCCUGAUCCAGCCAUGCCGCGUGUGUGAAGAAGGCCUUCGGGUUGUAAAGCACUUUCAGUGGGGAAGAAAGCCUUGGGGCUAAUACCCUCGAGGAAGGACAUCACCCACAGAAGAAGCACCGGCUAACUCCGUGCCAGCAGCCGCGGUAAUACGGAGGGUGCGAGCGUUAAUCGGAAUUACUGGGCGUAAAGCGCGCGUAGGCGGUCUGAUAAGCCGGUUGUGAAAGCCCCGGGCUCAACCUGGGAACGGCAUCCGGAACUGUCAGGCUAGAGUGCAGGAGAGGAAGAUAGAAUUCCCGGUGUAGCGGUGAAAUGCGUAGAGAUCGGGAGGAAUACCAGUGGCGAAGGCGGCCUUCUGGACUGACACUGACGCUGAGGUGCGAAAGCGUGGGUAGCAAACAGGAUUAGAUACCCGAGUAGUC